rnacentral:tRNA from 1 species
GCCCAAGUGGUGAAAUUGGUAGACACGCUAUCUUGAGGGGGUAGUGACCUUUCGGUCGUCCCGGUUCGAGUCCGGGCUUGGGCACCA